UUGUCUACCGAUAGAGGGCGUUUGUUUGUUUAUGUUAUAAAGACACGCGUUUUAAUCCAGAGAAACAUUACCGGGUCACACUGUUAAAUUGUUGUUGUCAUAAGUCAUAAUAGUGGAAAUCAAAAAUGGUGAAGGUAGUCGAAAGUGUUGAAACAUUUGAUGCUAUAUUAAAAGAGGCGGGGGAUAAAAUCAUCUGUGUUGAUUUUACUGCAUCAUGGUGUCCACCCUGUAAAUUCAUCGGACCAAUAUUUGCAAAGAUAGCCAGUGAUAUGGAAGGAAAGUUUAUUGCUUUAAAAGUUGAUGUUGAUGAGGUAGAUGAAUUAUCAGAAAGGUAUGAAAUAGAAGCAAUGCCAACAUUUAUUAUUAUAAAAGGCGGAAAAAGGGUAAUAUUGAUAUGAUGGAUGUCUAAUAUU